rnacentral:hammerhead_ribozyme from 15 species
AAGGCGUAUAAGGUAGGCUUCCACUACAAUGCCUUACUGAUGAGUCCAGUAGUGAAAUCCGGGACGAAACGCCAA